rnacentral:rRNA from 1 species
CUUAAUUAUGAUGUUAUUACUCUCAUCCCUAAUGUCAAAGGGGUCGACUUGAUUUCGUAGUUUAGUUCUAUCUGCCUCAUUAAUAAUUUCACGAAGUUUCCUACUAAGGGUUUCACCACUCGCCUCUCUCCUGUUGCCCACAGAACUCUUAGCCCAUACCAAUCUGCUUUCGUCAAAGGGAGGUUCAUUCUGGAUGGGACCCUUUGCCUGCACGAAAUUGUUCAUGAUCUCAGAAUACGUAAGACUAAGGCGGUGAUCUUGAAACUGGAUUUCGAAAAAGUGUACGAUUCGGUUGGUUGGUCGUUUCUUAGGCAGACUCUUCUUGCUAAGGGCUUUGAUGGAGCCUAUGUUCACAGAGUUAUGCAAUUGGUCUCGGGUGGCCACACGGAGAUCUCAAUAAAUGGCCAGGUUAGUAACUUCUUUGCCAAUGGCAGGAGCUUGAGGCAAGGGGACCCGGUCUCUCCUCUUUUGUAUAACUUUGUGGCGGAUGCUCUUUCUCGAAUCCUGUCUAGAGCUGCCUCAUGCGACCACAUUUCCCCUGUCAUCUCACACCUAAUCCCCGAGAGCGUCACUCAUCUCUAG